rnacentral:lncRNA from 1 species
AUUAGCUAAUCCAGCAUCUCGUGUUGUUACUAUUAUGCGGCUACCUUUCACAUUAUUACUAGGAAAAGCUAUUUUUCGAACCCAUUCCCAGUGAUCUAGGUUCCACAGAUCAUCAAGAACAACAAAGUACCUCUUCUCUUUCAGCUCUUUCCUGAGGUAUCUUGCGAGGUCCUCUUCUCGCACCAACUUCCUUUCAAGCUGCUGCUUCAAUGCCCCAUCACCAAAAAGUUCCUUGAUCAUGACUUUCAGCACCUCCAUCCUGACAAAUGACUGGGACAAAAUGAUCCAUGCACAACAUGAGAAGUCCUUUUUUACACUUUCAUAUACCUUCCUUGUGAUUGUAGUCUUACCCAAACCACCCAUGCCGACCACACAUACCACUUUAGCAGGGUCAUUAAUGGCAUGGACAUCGAUAAGCUCAAUCAAAUCUUGUUUGGGUUUGGUAAAACCUACAAGUUCAGCUUCAUCAAUGUUGCUAGCUGAUUGGUUGCGAAUAUCUUCCAGGAAAGAAUCCCUCUCUUCAACCAUGCCAGUGCCCUCGCUCUUGUCAAUCAAGUUGUAGCGCGUGUUCCUGCUGCUUACUUCUUCGACUCUUGAUUUGAGAUCGCGGAUCUGCAUUGCGAUCCGAUGACGAUCUUUGAGCUUCAUCAGCUGCUGCGACAAGCUCUGGCUUCGCACAUGCACCAUGAAUUCACCAAGACAGUCUUCAAUGUUGUAGGAGAGGUCCCGUACUUGCUUUGCCCACACCUUGAGUAGCAUGUCUUUCUGCUUCAUUCUUUCAGCAGCCACGAGGAAUGCUUGCAUCGUCUCCAGCUCGUCUUUGAUGAACCUGUCGAACAAAGGUUCAAAAUAAACUUAGAACAUGAGAGAUCUGAUGUUCAAAAUGAAAAAAAAGAGGCUGUUGGAUUAAUUUAUAUAGGCAACGUUAGAAGUGAAAGAUGUUCUGACUUGUGAGACGUGGACUUAGGCAGUUAGGCGAUCGAUCUGAUUGAACAAAGCAAGUAGCUGGGGAACACAUACCAGAUGUCCUUGCGGACGCCCAUUAGGAGGCUCAUCUCGUCAGCAGCGGCAGAGGCGGCCUUGCUGACGGCGCCACUCAGCAUCGACCUCGCCAUGCUCAACACCGUCUCCGCCAUCUCUAGACGCCAGUUUCGAUGGUACUAGCUCUCAAACAACACACACACAAUGGCUUAACAAGGGAUCAAGAGAUACAACUAGCUAGCGACCAAGGCAAGUCCAAACAGGCAAGUCGCAGGCCCAUAUAUGUAGCUAGCGAAGCGAAGUCUUGUGUACCGAUAAAAAACAAAGCCUUGUGUAUACAGGUAACCUUCUCUAUAUUUUUUUUUCUUUGAACCGCUAACCAUGUUUUCCGCAUGGUUUGUGUAUAGCUAAUUACUUCUAUAGGUAAGCUAGGGCAUGUGGGAGGCUUGGAAGGAUGGUGGGUUAGUUAAGCAGUACGGAGUACUUCUUUAACGGAAAUUCAAUAUACUCCCUCCGUCUUAUACGUAUUAAGUGUCGAAAUAUUACAUGUAUCUAAACAUAUUUUAGUAUAUUGAUACGUCCAUAUUUAAACAAAUUUGAGUCACUUAAUACGAGACGGAGGAACGAGAUGAAUGCUGCCAACGACUAUAAGCUGUUGUCUAGUCAUCAGCUUGAUCCUAGCUAGAGUUAAUUUAUAUAGCUAUAUGCACGCAUGCUGCCAACGACUAUAAGCUUUCUUCACUGAUGAUUGAUGAAGUGUCCCAAGGAUCGGAGAAAAGAGGAUGGGCUGAGGCUGAGCAGUGAGCACAAACUACACUACUGUGCACUGCAGGACUAGUAUUGGUGUUGGGGCAAUUAUUGGUGUUGCUCUACAGGUUCGGACAUUAGAUAGACAGUAGUACCGAAGUUUUCAUGCCAUGGAGAGGCCGUCCUUGCUUGCCCCACCCCUCCUGACCAAGCACAUGCUGACAUGCACCACCACAGAAGCAAGUUGAAGACAAGAGUUACUGUAGGAAACGGUAGCUGUAAAGCUGAUUUCAGAAGACAAGGCAUGGCUAGAUAGAACCCUCGGGUAAUUGAAUAUGGCCAUCACUGGCAACCAGCUGCACGAUACUUGAAUGUGGCCACCUAACAUGAGAAAACAGUCCUACAAAAACUUCCACGUUCAAAUGAAAGCAACUCAACAUGUAUGUGGCCACCCAACAUGAAAGCAACUCCUCCUGCAAUGGUCGUCUUAUAUAUGCAAAUGCAAGGAAGCUGGGAGAAAGAUGCAGUCACAGUCUUAAUUACUCCACACUGUAUAAGUUAAGAUCAUGCGCAUAUUAGAGACCACACGUAAUGGUGUAUUUGAGGUGGUUGUAAUAUUUCUCGUGCGUGAAUUCACGUUUUAUUAUUUCAGAAAACUCAUCCCUGACACCAACAGUUGCGUUCUCAAACAUUUUUGAGUUGUUCCCUCCUCUUUGAAAGAAAAUCCAAAAUUUGAGUUCUCACCUAUGGUGAAAAAAUGUCAAAAUUGCUUUCGCGCUUAGUCUGAGCUAUUCACACCUAUGAAGCAUGAAUAUGAUUAAGACUUAUACUGGCCCCGUGUGAUGAGUGUGACCACAGUACACCCACACCAGGUCACCAGCUGGCCGGAUCCAUGUGCUGAUCUGCCUCCCAUGUUAAAGUUGCCGCUCAGAUGACCAAGCACAUGAUUAUUACUGUAGGCAACGCUAGCUGUGAAGCUGAUUUCAGAACAAAAGACAUGGGUCGAUAGAACCCUCGGGUAAAUUGAAUGUGGCCAUCACUGGCAUGAUACUUCAAUGUCGCCACGUAACAUGGGAAAAUAGUUCUACAGAUACUUCCAUGUUCAUACCAGAGUCCAGAGGAGCUUUGCUAAGUUGCCCAUCAACAAUUUCUCCUAGCUUUCUUGCUGUUUCUAGUUUUUUUGUUUAGGUUUCUUGUAGAAACUCCUCUAGUCUAGCUUUCUUCAUUUUUCGUGUACAGGCUCGUUUUGAAUUUCUAUGAAAAAUACGCAGCAGGAUCUUUCUACUGUUACUCCUAACAAAACAUGAGAAAAUAGUGUUGAUGAGAAUGGGAGUAUCAAAUUUUCAAAUGGCAGGCAUGGAAUGCACCAGAAGGCAGAAGCAGUGGCAUCAGUAGCAGCGUUGGGGCUUUCAUGGCGUGGCGAUAAAUGCAAAUGUCCAUUGAUGCAGAGGCCUGCUGCAGCGUCCUGACCAGGCACUUGCACUAGCAGAGAAACAAAUCGAAGGAGAGGAGGACAAAGACAAAGACCAAGAUACACCCCAAGCUAAUGCUUCAAAAUACUUGUCCUUGGGUCACCGACACGGUCUAGAACAUGAUAAUUUCACCGUCAGUUUCAUUUACAUUCUGAAAGAACAUUUGGUGAUAGGUCUACUAGUAUCGAUUUGAUCUUGUCCAUGUAAAUGUUUUUUAAAAAUUGAUUAUUGGAGUACUUUUCUAGUUAUUGUUUCAAGCUUUUCAAUCCCCCCAUUUUUGUGCAUCAUUCACAGCAAACAGAAUCGAAAUUGUGAUAAGGGACUUGAGUUUUGCAAGACUAAGCAAAGAAUCGCGACAGAAUUGCAUCACCACCAUAUCAUAUCCAAGUAUCUAACACUAGGUUCCACUGCAUCAUCCACCACGCCCCACUCACUCGAUGAACUCCAACUAAACAACAGGGGCGGAAAAAGAGGGAGACCCUAAGCAAGCAAGCUGAGAGUAAAGAGUUAGCGUAAGGACCUUGCGUUGGGAGCCGGCGGCGAAGCUCGGCGGCCACGCUAGCUCUCCCGCGGCGGCGGCGGCCGCGGAAGCGGUGGUGCUCGUGGACGCGUCCGGCGUCCGAGAGGACGCGAUGCGGCGGAGCGGCGGAGCGGAAACAGGGUCCGGCCUUGAGCAAGUUCGAGCCCAUUGAUCAGUAUGGGCCGGACCAGACAUAUUGCUUAGUGGAGCCCAUUGAUCAGUAUGGGCCUUGACCAAGUUCGGGCACAUUGAUUAGGCCCUCGUCGUAUUUUGUUUUUAUUCGAGCAAACGUAAAAGCCUUGCGUGCAUGAAAUUCGGUUUGCAAGACUUGCAGAGUCAGAGGAACUUGUGUCUCCAUUAAUUCAAUCGUCAGUUACAAAGCAGUGUGCAAAUAUUUGUGCCCAUCGACAAAUGGAGAAUACUAGUAAACGAAACUCUAUUGAAACUUGCACGUGAUUGCUUUUCAGAAGAAAAAUAAUUGCACGACGUACUCCUGGGACUAGAAAUUAAGCUGAUGAUGCUGUGAUGAUUCGCACAACACUACUGAAUUCCUGGGGCUGGAAGCUGUUUGAGAAAAUAGGAUCUGAUGACAAGUUGAUCAGCUCCUAUAUAUACGGUGAUAUUCGACUCUUGGUCUGAUCUCUGGAAACGACAGUCGCAGCCCUGGAAAUGAUGCUGAUUGUGUUGCUUGCUCCAGGAUCACGUACGGGAGCAUUGAACUAGCUGAGAUGAUCUUCGCACGCCCGACCAUCAAUCCUGCCUGAAAGAUUGCACAGGUGUUUGUGUUGUCAUCACUGAAUUUUUUAAAUGGAUUCAACUGAUUAAACCGUCUAACGUUGAGGGUAAAAGGGAGAAAUCCUACGUACCAUGCAUGAUGUUCAGCGUGCUAAGAGAGAAACCAUCUGGCUUCUCUUGCAGUUGCAUAACUUCUUAUGCCAGGGAAUCUGAAUGCAUACACAUUGCACUGGAGAAAACCAAGGGAGCCAUGCCUUGAUAUAACAGUGCCUUUCACAUUGCGGCCUGUUCAGAACUUCAGCGAACAGAGGAUCCAUGCUCGAGACGUUUGCUCAAUUCAGCUCGACAAGGGGCCCUGCUCCAUGUUAACACAAAGACAUAAAAAUCUGAAAGUUGCUCGAGGACGCAAUACAUUAGUUUCUGAAGCUGUCUAAAGUUUUCCGUGCAAAAAUAUCUACUUGUAAGAAAGAUAAUGCAUCUGCUGUGCAACCAAGUGGAGCAAACAGAAUCAACACUAAUUAAGAAGAUGGGAUUUUGCAGGUUUAAGACAUUGAUGCACAAAUUCUGGAACGCUAACUUUGCUAAGAUACCAAAAGCGUGUUUUGAAAGACGUUGUGACAAGCACUUGAAGAGCGAAUAGCGCAACAAACUUUGUCCUCGAAAUAAGAUGGAACGGAACAAUUAAGCAGAGGAGGGCUCAUCUGUACUGACACGGUAGCACAAGCCGGCGAGUCGAGCUGCAGGUGGAACGGUAAGGAGACUCUGAGGUGGCGGCAAUCAAAGCCGAUCACCAGAUUGGAACGGGCAGUAAUAGUAUAUAUCAUGAAGCAUCUUCUUCUUCGUUGUCGGAAAUGCAAGAGCAGAAAUCACCUCCGUCAUCGUCUUCUAAAUUGGAGUCUUCUUCCCUGUCGUCAAAGGAAACAAGACAGAGAUGAAUGGCAUUGCAGCAAUUAACAUCCCGCAUGGGUUGAUAGCUGCUAGUACUGAAAAAGAAAUUAGAAAAGAGUUAAUGGCAGACCUUUUGCUUGUCGUCGGCACGAGGGUGACCACCAGCGAGGAGCUCUCGACCGCUGCAGCAUCGGAUCCUUGGACUAUGUCGCCCAGGUCAUGCUCGCUCCGGUCAAACUUCAGUUGCAGCACGGGCUUGUUGGGGUGCGCAUCCACUUCACCUUGCAGCACACCAAACCUCGCCACUUUACUUUGCCAGCCUAGUGAAAUCUCCUUGAGCCUUGGAAGGUGCUUGAUGCCAACAAUCCCUGAUUCCAAACUGCACCAUCGGAUUUCUAUCCUUUCUAUGUGGGGUGAGGUGCCCUCCUCAAAUCUCACCUCUUUCAGUUCAUCCAGAUGAACAAUUACAAGUUGCUUGAGAUUUGGGAAUGCUUCCGUCCUGAACACUAGCUUCUUUCCCAAAUAAGCAUCCAAACAAAGAGAAAGGAGAAUGAGGUUUGGUAGUGUUCCUAGUAUUUCCAUUAUUUUACCUCCUUCUUUCAGUUUGCUCCUGAGUAAAGUAAUCUUCACCAAUUGCAUCAGACUUCCGACCCAGUUGGGCAUCUCUUCACCAAGACGUCCAUACAACCAUAGGCUUCUCAGGCAGAGAGGUGGAGCCGAAACACCAUGCAGCCACUCGAGUGUUCUAUCCUGACCAGCACUCACAUGAAGAAAGCGAAGGGAAGAGAGCUUCUCGAUGGCCACACAGAGUAUCUUGCAUUUUUUCUUGGUGGCCUCUUUUGUUUCGACUUUUAGCUUUCUUAGCAGCGUAAGCUGCCCAAGCUCUUCAACUGCCUUGCUACAAGUUCGUUUAAUGUCCACAGUCUCUAAUAUCUCUAACUCUUUCAAGUUGCCAAUCCCUCUUGGCACCUUCACACCUCUCGACAUGGACCAACAGGAAGAGAAUCCCUUGUGUAGCUCAGGUAUUACUUUGGCACGGUCCUCAUCAUCAAGUAAAGGUGUGAAGAACAAGGGCAGAAGCAGAAAGUGCAGCAAGCAUUUCGUGGGCUCUUCUGGAUCAAAAAAGUAAUAUGGUGCACGGUUGAAACAACGGAGUGCACGGAGACUUUUGAGUUUACUAAUCUCUCUCGGUAGUGUUGUAAUAUAAGUGUCUCUUAUGUCCAAAAUCUGCAACCCUUGUAAUUUCCCUAUAGAUCUUGGAAGUUUAUAAAUAUUUGAGUAUCCUCUAGAAUGAUAAACGUUCAAGUAUUUCAAGUGGCGCAUCAACCCUAUGUUCUGGAAAUCUUUUUGUGUGGUUUCAAACUGUGCACUGUGUAGAUCCAAGGUCCUAAGCAUUCUAAACUCACUUGAACACACUGAAGGUGACGGUUGAUGGGUCUCUCACCAAACAUGGUUAAUGACCGAACAUGGCUCCAAUCCAUGGCUUUUGGGGGGCACUUGGUACCAUGGUAUGCUAUAUGCCGGAAGUUCUCCUCUGGUACACUAGUUAUAAUAUCCCCACCAAUCAAGCCCACAAAAUUUUCUUCUAUAGAAAUUGAGACCAUGACAUCACGCACGAUAUCAUGGACUCGGCAACUCUUAACGGUUCCUUCUAUGUUCAACCUUGAUGGCUGAAUCAUGCUUCGGUUGAUUAACUCAUCAAAGUACCCAUUUCCAAUGUCCACAAUAUUCAUCCCAGCCCUGGCUUCCACGAACCCCUCUGCAAUCCAUCUUCCCACUAGGCGGCUCCUCUGGAUUUCAAAAUCCUCGGGAAAUAUGCUCAUGUACAGAAAGCAUGACUUGAGAUGAGAUGGCAAGUGGUUAUAUAUACUUUCCCACCCGGUUACCAUUUUGGUGGCAAGCAAUCCUCCUAUAGUGAGUAUAGCUAGAGGCAAGCAACCACACUUUUUCACAAUUUUAGGAACUAUCUUCCUCAUUGUCUCAUCAUUCUUCAUGUCUUCAAGUCUUUUUCUAGUCUUUCUUAGUAACAACUUUGUAGCAUCAUCUAUUGCUAGGGCUUUGAGGUGGAAAAUAAGGGGUUUGAAAGUACAAUCCUUAGCUAAUCCAGCAUCUCGUGGUUCAAAAGUACAAUCAUUAGCUAAUCCAGCAUCUCGUGUUGUUACUAUUAUGCGGCUACCUUUCACAUUAUCACUAGGAAAAGCUAUUUUUCGAACCCAUUCCCAGUGAUCUAGGUUCCACAGAUCAUCAAGAACAACAAAGUACCUCUUCUCUUUCAACUCUUUCCUGAGGUAUCUUGCGAGGUCCUCUUCUCGCACCAACUUCCUUUCAAGCUGCUGCUUCAAUGCCUCAUCACCAAAAAGUUCCCUGAUCAUGACUUUCAGCACCUCC